UGACACCACCAGGGCGGAGUUCAGAAGGCCAAACAGAGGAGUUCUAGCCAGAUCCCAAAGGAAAGAUUUUUCCUCCUUUUGUCUCAGCUGUUGAACUCCGAUGUGUGUAUCCGCUGGGGCAGAGUCCUGUCACAUUACAAGAUGGCUCCCACAAGGGAAAAGCACCAUCAGGACAUCCAAGGCCUUUGGACUUCAGCAGCUGUCAGAGCUGUAGCUGCUGCACCCUGUGCCCAGCUUCAGCAACAGAAGUGAAAGAAACAACUACAAUUCACCACUCCGCCGUUUCCAGCAACAGACAAGGCAUUAAAAGGCUCAAAUCACCCAACAGCACUUACGGUGGGUAAAUCCCAUUUUCACCACAAGCCCUGCACAUCAGCUCGAUCAACAUGCUCUAGAGACUGUCUCUUCCUUGCCUGCUCCCUGAAGUGUCUACCACUUGCAGAGCUUAUUGCACUCCCAGUCCAAACACAGCUAAAAAUCACUUAGUUCCACCCACCCUUAUGGCUUUCCUUCAUGACUCCCAACCUGUUUGCCUCAUGCUUUCUCAGACUUGUUGCUGAAGAACUGCCUGUUUCAUGCAUCACUCAGCUCCUCAGAGCCACAAAUACCUUGCCCCAAUUGUUGAAAGACAUACUGCCUAUAAUUCGCAUCACAGAUGUUAUUCCUUUCUCCUUUCACCUUCUGUCAUUCUAUCUCACUGUCUCAAAGUGCUGGUCUCUGCACAAAACAGUCACAGUGCAUUUCCAAGUUAGAGAGAUGGAGAUGAAGAAGCAGAUAGACACAAAAAGGUGGUCAGAAGGACAAACACUGAGGCCUGCUGCACACCAUCUUCUCCAAAAAGGUUUAUCCCUGAAUGUCAUCUGAAAACCUAAUUGUAAUCAUAUUACUUUUCAGACAUAGAACACCACAUAGAAUAAUACAAAGAUAGAUUGUAUUUUCUCCCCCCAGAUUACUAAAAAAUGGUGGAAUCACAUGGAAUGCUGAUCAACUAGAAACAGAUAAUAUUAAACUGCCAGCUUACUGAUCAUUUUUCCUUCCAUUAUAACCACUGAGUAUUAGGCAUCUUAAACUGCUUAAAAGUGAUAUCCAGAAAAGAGAUGUCAAACAACCAGUAACAAUUUUAAGAAGGAGUAAACAGGUCUACAUUCUAAAUAAGCAUUUUGCUUACAGCCUGAUGAAAAGAUCACUUUCAUCUCAGACUAAAACUGUUACUCUCAAUUUUCUUCUCCCUCAUAUACACACAUCCAGACUUAUUGUUGUGCUCCAGUUGUUUUGAUAACAAAGAUAUCGUAAGCACAUCUGAAUACUUAGUAACAUCUAGAAUUUGCUAGCUUGAACUUACAUGCUAAAUGAAAUGCUCUAAAUGUAUUUUUCACUUGGGGACCAUAUGAGUCAAGCUCACACUGUACGCUUUUGCAAUAAGCACAAAACAUAGUGAAAUAUAUAUGCUUUCUUUUGUUAGUCUUAUGUUGUGAUCACUGUGACACAUGAGAUUGCCAGGACAUAAAGCAUGCAAAGCUAUGUGUGGGUAUGAAUACAUUAAGUAGCAAGCAGAGAUUUUGGGGAGUUACUAAUCUGAAUUUUCUUACCUUUUACCUUAGCAACUUUACACAAAAAAAAUACAACCACCUUUUCAAUUGUGCCUUUCUCCCAGGAAGGCAGCAUGCAAACAAGUAUCUGCACCAAUAUACAUGCAUUUGACUCGAGAUCAUUUCAAUGUGCUUCAUUUAAAACAAAAACAACCACCACAAUCCCUUCAUUCAUAUAGCUCAGAUUACAGGAAUAUUUGCAGAAGCUUUGGAAGUCAGUGAGAAUUGGUUUUAAUAUGCCCUUACAUGUAAAAUUGCAAAACUUAAUCCCAGCCUGCAAAGCAUUUAUGACCACCAUCUUCCACUGGUAGCACUGAGUCUAGAAAAAUAAUUUGCCAUUUGGAGGCUCUAUUAUUUAUCGUCCAUAGGUGAGCAGAGAGUUACCCUGCAAAUCUACAAGUAUCUACUUCAAUGGAAAAAUUUAAGGAGUUGAACAUACUCAGCAUCUUACAGGAUAAGGCUCAGCUCUGGAUUUUCAGUUUUCCUGUUCUCCUGAAAUAAACAGAAUCUGGACACAUUGUAUACACAGCACUACUAUGAUUUUAUUGUUCAAAGUAGGUAAAAAUCUCUCUGCUAUAAAUAACUUCAAGGUUUGUUACACCUAUAGUAAAAGAAUUAAAAUAAAUCUGUAAUGAUGCUCAGUGUUUUGAAUGCAUUCAGACAUUCAGUAUGUUAAAACAGAAAAGAAGAAAAAUCCUCACUUACCUUAAUGGCUGUAAGCUGCUAUUUCAUGCUCUGUCAACUUUUACUUCCUACUAACUAAAUAAAAGUUCUGCAAUC
ensembl:lncRNA